AGUGGCGGACGGGUGAGUAACGCGUAAGAAUCUAACUUCAGGACGGGGACAACAGUGGGAAACGACUGCUAAUACCCGAUGUGCCGCGAGGUGAAACCUAAUUGGCCUGAAGAAGAGCUUGCGUCUGAUUAGCUAGUUGGUGGGGUAAGAGCCUACCAAGGCGACGAUCAGUAGCUGGUCUGAGAGGAUGAGCAGCCACACUGGGACUGAGACACGGCCCAGACUCCUACGGGAGGCAGCAGUGGGGAAUUUUCCGCAAUGGGCGAAAGCCUGACGGAGCAACGCCGCGUGAGGGAGGAAGGUCUUUGGAUUGUAAACCUCUUUUCUCAAGGAAGAAGUUCUGACGGUACUUGAGGAAUCAGCCUCGGCUAACUCCGUGCCAGCAGCCGCGGUAAUACGGGGGAGGCAAGCGUUAUCCGGAAUUAUUGGGCGUAAAGCGUCCGCAGGUGGUCAGCCAAGUCUGCCGUCAAAUCAGGUCGCUUAACGACCUAAAGGCGGUGGAAACUGGCAGACUAGAGAGCAGUAGGGGCAGCAGGAAUUCCCAGUGUAGCGGUGAAAUGCGUAGAGAUUGGGAAGAACAUCGGUGGCGAAAGCGUGCUACUGGGCUGUAUCUGACACUCAGGGACGAAAGCUAGGGGAGCGAAAGGGAUUAGAUACCCCUGUAGUCCUAGCCGUAAACGAUGGAUACUAGGCGUGGCUU
rnacentral:rRNA from 1 species